GAUGAACGCUGGCGGCGUGCCUAAUACAUGCAAGUCGAGCGAACAGACGAGGAGCUUGCUCCUCUGACGUUAGCGGCGGACGGGUGAGUAACACGUGGAUAACCUACCUAUAAGACUGGGAUAACUUCGGGAAACCGGAGCUAAUACCGGAUAAUAUAUUGAACCGCAUGGUUCAAUAGUGAAAGACGGUUUUGCUGUCACUUAUAGAUGGAUCCGCGCCGCAUUAGCUAGUUGGUAAGGUAACGGCUUACCAAGGCAACGAUGCGUAGCCGACCUGAGAGGGUGAUCGGCCACACUGGAACUGAGACAGGGUCAAGACUCCUACGGGAGGCAGCAGUAGGGAAUCUUCCGCAAUGGGCGGAAGCCUGACGGAACAACGCCGCGUGAGUGAUGAAGGUCUUCGGAUCGUAAAACUCUGUUAUUAGGGAAGAACAAAUGUGUAAGUAACUAUGCACGUCUUGACGGUACCUAAUCAGAAAGCCACGGCUAACUACGUG
rnacentral:rRNA from 1 species